rnacentral:rRNA from 1 species
GACGAACGCUGGCGGCGUGCUUAACACAUGCAAGUCGAACGGAAAGGCCCUGCUGUUGUGGGGUGCUCGAGUGGCGAACGGGUGAGUAACACGUGAGUAACCUGCCCUUGACUUUGGGAUAACUUCAGGAAACUGGGGCUAAUACCGGAUAGGAGCUCCUGCUGCAUGGUGGGGGUUGGAAAGUUUCGGCGGUUGGGGAUGGACUCGCGGCUUAUCAGCUUGUUGGUGGGGUAGUGGCUUACCAAGGCUUUGACGGGUAGCCGGCCUGAGAGGGUGACCGGCGACAUUGGGACUGAGAUACGGCCCAGACUCCUACGGGAGGCAGCAGUGGGGAAUAUUGCACAAUGGGCGGAAGCCUGAUGCAGCAACGCCGCGUGCGGGAUGACGGCCUUCGGGUUGUAAACCGCUUUCGCCUGUGACGAAGCGUGAGUGACGGUAAUGGGUAAAGAAGCACCGGCUAACUACGUG